AUGCGCCCCCGCCGGGGUCACCACGGCGGCGAACGUCCCGGACUUCGCAUCCCGGGGACCCCUUGGGAAGAACCGAAGCCCGAUCUGCACCUUGGCCGUAGCAAGCGCGCUCCACGCCGCCACCAGCGGUGGCUCCCGGGUCCUCUGUCGCCCUGGCCUCCCCGCAGGCGGGUUUCGAGGCCCCCGCAGGGAGUUCAGGGCCACGGCCACGUGCAGCCGCCCCCGAGCCCGAGUUUGCAGGCUCGGGGUCCGGCCUGCGCUUCGGUGGCGCCCGGCGAGGCUGCAGCGCGCAAAGUUCCCACCUCAAGUUCCCGUCGCGGCGUCCCCGCCUCGGAGUUGGCCCGGCCGCGGCUUCCGUCCCCCGGCUGCCCACGGGUCCGGGGCGAGGACGCGAGAGGGCCUGGAAGCCGCCCGGGGCGUCCGCUCUGCCUCCCGGAGCCGCCGCCAAACUUCGGUCCCGGGGCCCGGCUCAGCUCCCGCCCUAGGAGCCACGGCCGCCCCGUCUCUGCCUCCCGGUCCCCGCCGGGCUCCGAGUGCGCCGGGAGGCGCGGCAGCCGCCGAGGGAGGAGCGGGGCAGGAGGCGGGACGGAGGGAGGGACUGAGCGCGGGGCGGGGAGAAGGGCGGGCAGCCGAGAGCUCGGCGCCGGGCCUCGCCCGGCUUCGGGACAGUGGCAGCGGCACCACCGUCACGGGGCGUCCAGGCACCCAAUCGGGACCCCGCACCUUGGAUCCGGGGUCCUUGGCGCGCCUGCUGGAUUGCGCUCCUCGCGGCACGUUCCUGAGCCCGAGUCUGGGACGGCUGGUGCUACGCCCUCCCUUCCGUUGCCUUCUUCCCGGUCUGCUUUCCCAGGAUGGCCCACCCUGCGGCCCCUUCGGCUGCACGCGCCAGCCUUUAAGGUCCCUGCGCUCCGCUGCCCUGCAGCUUCACGCACCAGGCGGCGCGGCAGCCUCCUCCGGUGGUGCGCCCUGUCAGCUUUCGCCGCGGUACAAGUGCGCCGGUGGUCCAGGGUCCGGGCCCCUAGCAACACCGCCCCAGGGUCUACAUGUGCCAGAUAUUAA
rnacentral:lncRNA from 1 species